rnacentral:rRNA from 1 species
GACGAACGCUGGCGGCGUGCCUAAUACAUGCAAGUAGAACGCUGAAGAGAGGAGCUUGCUCUUCUUGGAUGAGUUGCGAACGGGUGAGUAACGCGUAGGUAACCUGCCUUGUAGCGGGGGAUAACUAUUGGAAACGAUAGCUAAUACCGCAUAACAAUGGACGACACAUGUCAUUUAUUUGAAAGGGGCAAUUGCUCCACUACAAGAUGGACCUGCGUUGUAUUAGCUAGUAGGUGAGGUAAUGGCUCACCUAGGCGACGAUACAUAGCCGACCUGAGAGGGUGGUCGGCCACACUGGGACUGAGACACGGCCCAGACUCCUACGGGAGGCAGCAGUAGGGAAUCUUCGGCAAUGGGGGCAACCCUGACCGAGCAACGCCGCGUGAGUGAAGAAGGUUUUCGGAUCGUAAAGCUCUGUUGUAAGUCAAGAACGGGUGUGAGAGUGGAAAGUUCACACUGUGACGGUAGCUGACCAGAAAGGGACGGCUAACUACGUG